rnacentral:tRNA from 1 species
UAGUACAGUGGGAGUACACAAAAUUUUGGAUUUUGUAGUGUAGGUUCGAGUCCUGUUUUCUAGG